GGGGGGGUUGGCGGGCGUGCUUACACAUGCAGUCGAACGAUGAAGCGCGCAGCUUGUCUCCGUGGAUUAGUGGCGAACGGGUGAGUAACACGUGAGUAACCUGCCCUUGACUCUGGGAUAAGCCUGGGAAACUGGGUCUAAUACCGGAUAUGACCUUCCAUCGCAUGGUGGUUGGUGGAAAGCUUUUGUGGUUUUGGAUGGACUCGCGGCCUAUCAGCUUGUUGGUGGGGUAAUGGCCUACCAAGGCGACGACGGGUAGCCGGCCUGAGAGGGUGACCGGCCACACUGGGACUGAGACACGGCCCAGACUCCUACGGGAGGCAGCAGUGGGGAAUAUUGCACAAUGGGCGCAAGCCUGAUGCAGCGACGCCGCGUGAGGGAUGACGGCCUUCGGGUUGUAAACCUCUUUCAGUAGGGAAGAAGCGUAAGUGACGGUACCUGCAGAAGAAGCGCCGGCUAACUACGUGCCAGCAGCCGCGGUAAUACGUAGGGCGCAAGCGUUAUCCGGAAUUAUUGGGCGUAAAGAGCUCGUAGGCGGUUUGUCGCGUCUGCCGUGAAAGUCCGGGGCUCAACUCCGGAUCUGCGGUGGGUACGGGCAGACUAGAGUGAUGUAGGGGAGACUGGAAUUCCUGGUGUAGCGGUGAAAUGCGCAGAUAUCAGGAGGAACACCGAUGGCGAAGGCAGGUCUCUGGGCAUUAACUGACGCUGAGGAGCGAAAGCAUGGGGAGCGAACAGGAU
rnacentral:rRNA from 1 species